UACGUAGGGUGCAAGCGUUAAUCGGAAUUACUGGGCGUAAAGCGUGCGCGGGCGGUUUUGUAAGACAGAUGUGAAAUCCCCGGGCUCAACCUGGGAGCUGCAUUUGUGACUGCACGGCUGGAGUGCGGCAGAGGGGGAUGGAAUUCCGCGUGUAGCAGUGAAAUGCGUAGAUAUGCGGAGGAACACCGAUGGCGAAGGCAAUCCCCUGGGCCUGCACUGACGCUCAUGCACGAAAGCGUGGGGAGCAAACAGG
rnacentral:rRNA from 1 species